AAGUCGUAACAAGGUCUCCGUAGGUGAACCUGCGGAGGGAUCAUUACAAGAACGCCCGGGCUUCGGCCUGGUUAUUCAUAACCCUUUGUUGUCCGACUCUGUUGCCUCCGGGGCGACCCUGCCUUCGGGCGGGGGCUCCGGGUGGACACUUCAAACUCUUGCGUAACUUUGCAGUCUGAGUAAACUUAAUUAAUAAAUUAAAACUUUUAACAACGGAUCUCUUGGUUCUGGCAUCGAUGAAGAACGCAGCGAAAUGCGAUAAGUAAUGUGAAUUGCAGAAUUCAGUGAAUCAUCGAAUCUUUGAACGCACAUUGCGCCCCCUGGUAUUCCGGGGGGCAUGCCUGUUCGAGCGUCAUUUCACCACUCAAGCCUCGCUUGGUAUUGGGCAACGCGGUCCGCCGCGUGCCUCAAAUCGUCCGGCUGGGUCUUCUGUCCCCUAAGCGCUGUGGAAACUAUUCGCUAAAGGGUGUUCGGGAGGCUACGCCGUAAAACAACCCCAUUUCUAAGGUUGACCUCGGAUCAGGUAGGGAUACCCGCUGAACUUAA
rnacentral:rRNA from 1 species